rnacentral:rRNA from 1 species
AUUGAACGCUGGCGGCAUGCCUUACACAUGCAAGUCGAACGGCAGCAUGAUCUAGCUUGCUAGAUUGAUGGCGAGUGGCGAACGGGUGAGUAAUACAUCGGAACGUGCCCUGUAGUGGGGGAUAACUAGUCGAAAGAUUAGCUAAUACCGCAUACGACCUGAGGGUGAAAGUGGGGGACCGCAAGGCCUCAUGCUAUAGGAACGGCCGAUGUCUGAUUAGCUAGUUGGUGAGGUAAAGGCUCACCAAGGCGACGAUCAGUAGCUGGUCUGAGAGGACGAUCAGCCACACUGGGACUGAGACACGGCCCAGACUCCUACGGGAGGCAGCAGUGGGGAAUUUUGGACAAUGGGCGAAAGCCUGAUCCAGCAAUGCCGCGUGUGUGAAGAAGGCCUUCGGGUUGUAAAGCACUUUUGUCCGGAAAGAAAUGGCUCUGGUUAAUACCUGGGGUCGAUGACGGUACCGGAAGAAUAAGGACCGGCUAACUACGUG